AGCGAACGCUGGCGGCAGGCUUAACACAUGCAAGUCGAGCGCCCCGCAAGGGGAGCGGCAGCCGGGUGAGUAACACGUGGGAACGUACCCUUUGGUUCGGAACAACCCAGGGAAACUUGGGCUAAUACCGGAUAAGUCCGCGAGGAGAAAGAUUUAUCGCCGAAGGAUCGGCCCGCGUCUGAUUAGCUAGUUGGUGUGGUAACGGCGCACCAAGGCGACGAUCAGUAGCUGGUCUGAGAGGGUGAUCAGCCACACUGGGACUGAGACACGGCCCAGACUCCUACGGGAGGCAGCAGUGGGGAAUAUUGGACAAUGGGGGCAACCCUGAUCCAGCCAUGCCGCGUGAGUGAUGAAGGCCCUAGGGUUGUAAAGCUCUUUCGGUGGGGAAGAUAAUGACGGUACCCACAGAAGAAGCCCCGGCUAACUUCGUG
rnacentral:rRNA from 1 species